UACGGAGGAUCCAAGCGUUAUCCGGAUUUAUUGGGUUUAAAGGGUGCGUAGGCGGCUUAUUAAGUCAGGGGUGAAAAGACCGGGUAGCCUCCAACUAUCGACAGUGCCCUUGAUACUGAUGGGCUUGAAAUGUACUAGAGGUAGGCGGAAUGUGACAAGUAGCGGUGAAAUGCAUAGAUAUGUCACAGAACACCAAUUGCGAAGGCAGCUACUAUGGUAUGAUUGACGCUGAGGCACGAAAGCGUGGGGAGCAAACAGG
rnacentral:rRNA from 1 species